rnacentral:rRNA from 1 species
UACAGGAAGCAGCUUGCUGCUUCUUUUGACGAGUGGCGGACGGGUGAGUAAAGACUGGGAAACUGCCUGAUGGAGGGGGAUAACUACUGGAAACGGUAGCUAAUACCGCAUAACGUCGCAAGACCAAAGAGGGGGACCUUCGGGCCUCUUGCCAUCGGAUGUGCCCAGAUGGGAUUAGCUAGUAGGUGGGGUAACGGCUCACCUAGGCGACGAUCCCUAGCUGGUCUGAGAGGAUGACCAGCCACACUGGAACUGAGACACGGUCCAGACUCCUACGGGAGGCAGCAGUGGGGAAUAUUGCACAAUGGGCGCAAGCCUGAUGCAGCCAUGCCGCGUGUAUGAAGAAGGCCUUCGGGUUGUAAAGUACUUUCAGCGGGGAGGAAGGGAGUAAAGUUAAUACCUUUGCUCAUUGACGUUACCCGCAGAAGAAGCACCGGCUAACUCCGUGCCAGCAGCCGCGGUAAUACGGAGGGUGCAAGCGUUAAUCGGAAUUACUGGGCGUAAAGCGCACGCAGGCGGUUUGUUAAGUCAGAUGUGAAAUCCCCGGGCUCAACCUGGGAACUGCAUCUGAUACUGGCAAGCUUGAGUCUCGUAGAGGGGGGUAGAAUUCCAUGUG